AGUCCAGAACGAACUUCCCGACCAAAAAAUGUUGUGGGUGGGGUUCGGGCUGGCAUCCAGGCUAGGAGACGUGGGUAAGGACUCGGAGAAUGCAGAAGACAAAAGUCAGGACAGAUGGCGGACUGUGACUGUGGUGCGGUGGAGCCUUCAGGGGGCGCAACUCCUUCACCAUAACAGUUGGAUCUCCAUUGGACUGUUUGUUUGGGGGUGGCAUCUGCAGGGACACCCUCUGAUCCCAGA